rnacentral:rRNA from 1 species
AUUGAACGCUGGCGGCAGGCUUAACACAUGCAAGUCGAGCGGAGCGAGGGUGCUUGCACCUUAGCUUAGCGGCGGACGGGUGAGUAAUGCUUAGGAAUCUGCCUAUUAGUGGGGGACAACAUUCCGAAAGGAAUGCUAAUACCGCAUACGCCCUACGGGGGAAAGCAGGGGAUCUUCGGACCUUGCGCUAAUAGAUGAGCCUAAGUCGGAUUAGCUAGUUGGUGGGGUAAAGGCCUACCAAGGCGACGAUCUGUAGCGGGUCUGAGAGGAUGAUCCGCCACACUGGGACUGGAACACGGCCCAGACUCCUACGGGAGGCAGCAGUGGGGAAUAUUGGACAAUGGGCGGAAGCCUGAUCCAGCCAUGCCGCGUGUGUGAAGAAGGCCUUUUGGUUGUAAAGCACUUUAAGCGAGGAGGAGGCUCUUAAGGUUAAUACCCUUGAUGAGUGGACGUUACUCGCAGAAUAAGCACCGGCUAACUCUGUGCCAGCAGCCGCCGUAAAAC